rnacentral:rRNA from 1 species
ACGAACGCUGGCGGCGUGCCUAAUCCAUGCAAGUAGAACGCUGAAGAGAGGAGCUUGCUCUUCUUGGAUGAGUUGCGAACGGGUGAGUAACGCGUAGGUAACCUGCCUUGUAGCGGGGGAUAACUAUUGGAAACGAUAGCUAAUACCGCAUAACAAUGGAUGACACAUGUCAUUUAUUUGAAAGGGGCAAUUGCUCCACUACAAGAUGGACCUGCGUUGUAUUAGCUAGUAGGUGAGGUAAUGGCUCACCUAGGCGACGAUACAUAGCCGACCUGAGAGGGUGACAGGACACAGCGGGAAUGAGAUAGGGACAGGACGCCUACGGGAGGGAGAUGUGGGGAAUAGUGCACAAUGGGACGAAGCCGGAUGGAGCAACGCCGCGUGAGGGAUGACGGCCGGCGGGUGGUAAACCGCGUUCGACGGGGACGAAGCGUGAGUGACGGUAAUGGGUAAAGAAGCACCGGCUAACUACGUG